UGCCUCCUACGGGGGGCAGCAGUGAGGAAUAUUGGUCAAUGGGCGGGAGCCUGAACCAGCCAAGUCGCGUGAGGGAAGACGGUCCUACGGAUUGUAAACCUCUUUUGCCGGGGAGCAACGGGGUCCUUGCGAGGGCCCGAUGAGAGUACCCGGAGAAAAAGCAUCGGCUAACUCCGUGCCAGCAGCCGCGGUAAUACGGAGGAUGCGAGCGUUAUCCGGAUUUAUUGGGUUUAAAGGGUGCGUAGGCGGAUCGUUAAGUCAGUGGUCAAAUUGAGGGGCUCAACCCCUUCCCGCCAUUGAAACUG
rnacentral:rRNA from 1 species